UUAGUCCAGAGUCAGCCAGAGGUGAGUAGAACAGAACUUCUUUUAUUUUCAACGCAAUGAAAUCUUUUUAGCAUGAUCCAUGCAUCAGGAAUGCCAUGAUAUGUAUUAGGUUAUUUUGCAUUAGAAUUCAUGAAUAUGAUGCAUUGCAUUAAUUAUUGUUGAUGUGGAUGGUUAUUGGAUGAUCCAUUAGUCCUCGAUAUGAUAUGAUGUGAUACGGAAAGACCAGGGCUGCCCAUUCUACGCCCCUAGCACAGAGUAAGGGAAAGACCAGGGUUGCCCAUUCUACGCCCCUGGCAUAAUUGGACAUGUUAUGUUAUGUUUAAGAGGAAGUCCUGAGGAGCUCCGUCG
rnacentral:lncRNA from 1 species